GAAGGUGGGGUUAAUGAUUGGGGUGAAGUCGUAACAAGGUAGCCGUAGGAGAACCUGCGGCUGGAUCACCUCCUUUCUAAGGAGUAA
rnacentral:rRNA from 1 species